rnacentral:rRNA from 1 species
CCUACGGGCGGCAGCAGUGAGGAAUAUUGGUCAAUGGUCGGGAGACUGAACCAGCCAAGCCGCGUGAGGGAGGAAGGUACAGAGUAUCGUAAACCUCUUUUGUCAGGGAACAAAGACUGGGACGCGUCCCCGGAUGAGUGUACCUGAAGAAAGAGCAUCGGCUAACUCCGUGCAAGCAGCCGCGGUAAUACGGAGGAUGCGAGCGUUCUCCGGCUUUAUUGGGUUUAAGGGGUGCGCAGGCGGUCUGUAAAGUCAUCGGUAAAAGCCCGGGGCGCAACCCCGGCCCGCCGUUGAAACUGGCAGUCUCGAGUUGGAGAGAAGUAUGCGGAAGGCGCGGUGUAGCGGUGAAAUGCAUCGAUAUCGCGCAGAACUCCGAUUGCGAAGGCAGCAUGCCGGCUCCACACUGACGCUGAGGCACGAAAGCGUGGGUAUCGAACAGGAUUAGAUACCCGGGUAGUC